AUGAACACGGAGGAGCUGCACCAGUUCAUAAGAAUGUGGGAGAUAUUGCUCCAAAUGGAGCUAAGGCCAAACAUGGAGGACGUCCCAAUCUGGCAGUGGGAGGCUAGCGGCACUUAUUCAGCAAAUUCCGCCUACAAGAUGAUGUGCCAUGGAGGCGUUCGGUUUCAAUGUGCUUCGGCAGUUUGGCGUUAUUGGGCUACGCUAACGUGUAAGAUCUUCAUGUGGCUAGCUUUUCAACACAGGAUUUGGACAUCUGACCGUAGGCAAAGGCAUGGAUUGCAAGAGCAUAGUUCGCCCUGCUUCCUGUGUGAGUAG
rnacentral:rRNA from 1 species